rnacentral:rRNA from 1 species
AUUGAACGCUGGCGGCAGGCCUAACACAUGCAAGUCGAGCGGAUGAAGGGAGCUUGCUCCUGGAUUCAGCGGCGGACGGGUGAGUAAUGCCUAGGAAUCUGCCUGGUAGUGGGGGAUAACGUCCGGAAACGGGCGCUAUUACCGCAUACGUCCUGAGGGAGAAAGUGGGGGAUCUUCGGACCUCACGCUAUCAGAUGAGCCUAGGACGGAUUAGCUAGUUGGUGGGGUAAAGGCCUACCAAGGCGACGAUCCGUAACUGGUCUGAGAGGAUGAUCAGUCACACUGGAACCGAGACACGGUCCAGACUCCUAAGGAGCGCAGCAGUGGGGAAUAUUGGACAAUGGGCGAAAGCCUGAUCCAGCCAUGCCGCGUGUGUGAAGAAGGUCUUCGGAUUCUAAAGCACUUUAAGUUGGGAGGAAGGGCAGUAAGUUAAUACCUUGCUGUUUUGACGUUACCAACAGAAUAAGCACCGGCUAACUUCGUG